UACGUAGGUGGCGAGCGUUGUCCGGAAUUAUUGGGCGUAAAGAGCAUGUAGGCGGCUUAAUAAGUCGAGCGUGAAAAUGCGGGGCUCAACCCUGUAUGGCGCUGGAAACUGUUAGGCUUGAGUGCAGGAGAGGAAAGGGGAAUUCCCAGUGUAGCGGUGAAAUGCGUAGAUAUUGGGAGGAACACCAGUGGCGAAGGCGCCUUUCUGGACUGUGUCUGACGCUGAGAUGCGAAAGCCAGGGUAGCGAACGGG
rnacentral:rRNA from 1 species